UCGAAAGGUGUGCUAAUACCGCAUAAUCUCUGAGGAGAAAAGCAGGGGCUCGCAAGACCUUGCGCUUUUGGAGCGGCCGAUGUCUGAUUAGCUAGUUGGUGAGGUAAAGGCUCACCAAGGCGUCGAUCAGUAGCUGGUCUGAGAGGACGACCAGCCACACUGGGACUGAGACACGGCCCAGACUCCUACGGGAGGCAGCAGUGGGGAAUUUUGGACAAUGGGGGCAACCCUGAUCCAGCCAUGCCGCGUGAGUGAAGAAGGCCUUCGGGUUGUAAAGCUCUUUCAGCCGGAACGAAACGGUCACGGCCAAUACCCGUGACUAAUGACGGUACCGGAAGAAGAAGCACCGGCUAACUACGUGCCAGCAGCCGCGGUAAUACGUAGGGUGCGAGCGUUAAUCGGAAUUACUGGGCGUAAAGCGUGCGCAGGCGGUUUUGUAAGUCAGAUGUGAAAGCCCCGGGCUUAACCUGGGAACUGC
rnacentral:rRNA from 1 species